UACGGAAGGCAGCAGUGGGGAAUAUUGCACAAUGGGCGCAAGCCUGAUGCAGCCAUGCCGCGUGUAUGAAGAAGGCCUUCGGGUUGUAAAGUACUUUCAGUCGUGAGGAAGGUGUUAAGGUUAAUAACCUUAGCAAUUGACGUUAGCGACAGAAGAAGCACCGGCUAACUCCGUGCCAGCAGCCGCGGUAAUACGGAGGGUGCGAGCGUUAAUCGGAAUUACUGGGCGUAAAGGGCACGCAGGCGGUUAAUUAAGUUGGAUGUGAAAUCCCCGGGCUUAACCUGGGAAUGGCAUUCAAGACUGGUUAGCUAGAGUCUUGUAGAGGGGGUAGAAUUCCAUGUGUAGCGGUGAAAUGCGUAGAGAUGUGGAGGAAUACCGGGUGGCGAAGGCGGCCCCUGGGAUAAAGGACUGACGCUCAUGUGCGAAAGCGUGGGGAGCAAACAGGAUUAGAUACC
rnacentral:rRNA from 1 species